rnacentral:lncRNA from 1 species
CCUUCCGCAUCAGCCUCCUGAGUAGCUGAGACUACAGAAAUGAGGCUUCUCCCCAGGACCAGCAUUCCACGAAGGCAGCCCUUUUCUAGAUGGAGAAAACAGAACCUGAAGGCACCCGUUUCCCUAAACUGCUCUCGCUCAUGUUUCUACAGGGCCUGGAGCUGAUACGAAAAACCUCCCUUCUUUCCCAAAUGGUCCCCAGCUUCCCCGUUCACUGAAGGCCCUGCAGUCGGGAACAGUCAGGACUUUGUACCCAGUUGUUUUGGGUGUUUGGCCGACCCUUCCUCUUGUGUGAUUCAUGGACCCGCAGCAUUGCGUCACCUGUGAGCUUUUGGAAUUGAAGACUCUCAGGGCUCACCCGGGAGG